rnacentral:rRNA from 1 species
GCAGCCGCGGUAAUUCCAGCUCCAAUAGCGUAUAUUAAAGUUGUUGCAGUUAAAAAGCUCGUAGUUGGAUUUCUGCUGGAAGCAGCCAGUCCGCCCUUAGGGGUGUGCACUUGGUGAAUUCUAGCAUCCUUCUGGUUGCGCUUCUCACUUCGUUGUGUGGGGCGUUUUUCCAGGACUUUUACUUUGAGAAAAUUAGAGUGUUUCAAGCAGGCUUGUCGCCUUGAAUACUGCAGCAUGGAAUAAUAAGAUAGGAUUUCGGCCCUAUUUUGUUGGUUUCUAGGACUGAAGUAAUGAUUAAUAGGGACGGUUGGGGGCAUUCGUAUUUAACUGUCAGAGGUGAAAUUCUUAGAUUUGUUAAAGACGAACUACUGCGAAAGCAUUUGCCAAAGAUGUUUUCAUUAAUCAAGAACGAAAGUUAGGGGCUCGAAGACGAUCAGAUACCGUCGUAGUC